UUCAACCUCAGUUGGCAUGAAAACGUGCGUUGAGUUUAAAGCUGAUUGCCCUGGCUUUUUCUUCUGCGCGUUCACGUUAGUGCCUCUUAAAAUACAUUUUCUGAUGUGUUCUCUCUCUUAUCUCCUGUAGCUGUGCUUAGCUUCCUGUGCGUGUGUUGCUUUUAUUCCCUUGACCUUCCCAUCUGCUCCAAAACACACACAGAUCUUGCAUAAAGCUCUACACACCAGAUCUGCCUCCUUCCGUUAGUCAUUUACUCCCUCCGGCCGAUCUCCAGCUCCAGUCAUCUGCAUCCAACCGAUCUCCAGCUCAUUGCCGUCCUUUCUAGCGUCCACCGUGUCCUUGCUUCGGAGUGCUUCUUCUUCCCGUCGCCUCUCGAUCCUACUGUGUCCAUCGGAUCUACACUUCCCAUCGCUGGAUCUGCUCUCCAUCGCUUGUCUUUGUUAAGCAUUCUCUUCCCGAAUGUCGCGUUUUGAUUACUUAUAUUUUAUAUACCUCUCGACUCAAGACUGCUCGUGCUUGUCCUCGUGUGGCGUACCAAUCGGAGAUACAUGGAAAGGGAGAUGCCAGCCUACAGUAGGGACCGGGAGUGGGUCUUAGUUGUCUUCACCUUUAAUUAUUAAAUAACAAUAUUAAAUGUUAGUGAUUGUUAAUUAUUAGUUGAUCAAUUGAACUGAAGAGAGUUGGGAGGGGCAUUCUGGCAAGUCUUGAACCGUACUAUAUCCAAAUCAUCAACAUAUUUAUCUUAUGUUU